rnacentral:misc_RNA from 1 species
AAGGAUCUAUGUUGGUUUUUAUUUUCUUUCUAUUAGUGUGGUGUGUUUUAUUGUGUUGGAUUGCUUUGUCGGAGAACUUGCUUUGUGUUUUGUUUAGGUUCCAUUCUUUUUCUUUGGAUUCUUGAGAGAAGGUAUAUUGGGGUGCUUUUAGAUCAUCACUUGAGCAUCUUCUUUGUAGAGGGAAAGGAUGGGACGUGGCUGGUAACAUCUU